rnacentral:rRNA from 1 species
GCAAGUCGAGCGAUUCUCUUCGGAGAAGAGCGGCGGACGGGUGAGUAGCGCGUGGGUAACCUGCCCUGUACACACGGAUAACAUACCGAAAGGUAUGCUAAUACGAGAUAAUAUGCUUUUAUCGCAUGGUAGAAGUAUCAAAGCUUUUGCGGUACAGGAUGGACCCGCGUCUGAUUAGCUAGUUGGUAAGGUAACGGCUUACCAAGGCGACGAUCAGUAGCCGACCUGAGAGGGUGAUCGGCCACAUUGGAACUGAGACACGGUCCAAACUCCUACGGGAGGCAGCAGUGGGGAAUAUUGCACAAUGGGCGAAAGCCUGAUGCAGCAACGCCGCGUGAGCGAUGAAGGCCUUCGGGUCGUAAAGCUCUGUCCUCAAGGAAGAUAAUGACGGUACUUGAGGAGGAAGCCCCGGCUAACUACGUGCCAGCAGCCGCGGUAAUACGUAGGGGGCUAGCGUUAUCCGGAAUUACUGGGCGUAAAGGGUGCGUAGGUGGUUUCUUAAGUCAGAGGUGAAAGGCUACGGCUCAACCGUAGUAAGCCUUUGAAACUGGGAAACUUGAGUGCAGGAGAGGAGAGUGGAAUUCCUAGUGUAGCGGUGAAAUGCGUAGAUAUUAGGAGGAACACCAGUUGCGAAGGCGGCUCUCUGGACUGUAACUGACACUGAGGCACGAAAGCGUGGGGAGCAAACAGG